AAAAAGAGGAGUGGCGAACGGGUGAGUAACACGUGGGUAACCUGCCCAUCAGAAGGGGAUAACACUUGGAAACAGGUGCUAAUACCGUAUAACAAUCGAAACCGCAUGGUUUUGAUUUGAAAGGCGCUUUCGGGUGUCGCUGAUGGAUGGACCCGCGGUGCAUUAGCUAGUUGGUGAGGUAACGGCUCACCAAGGCGACGAUGCAUAGCCGACCUGAGAGGGUGAUCGGCCACAUUGGGACUGAGACA
rnacentral:rRNA from 1 species